CCUACGGGAGGCAGCAGUGGGGAAUAUUGGACAAUGGGCGAAAGCCUGAUCCAGCCAUGCCGCGUGUGUGAAGAAGGCCUUCGGGUUGUAAAGCACUUUCAGUGGGGAAGAAAGCCUUGGGGCUAAUACCCUCGAGGAAGGACAUCACCCACAGAAGAAGCACCGGCUAACUCCGUGCCAGCAGCCGCGGUAAUACGGAGGGUGCGAGCGUUAAUCGGAAUUACUGGGCGUAAAGCGCGCGUAGGCGGUCUGAUAAGCCGGUUGUGAAAGCCCCGGGCUCAACCUGGGAACGGCAUCCGGAACUGUCAGGCUAGAGUGCCGGAGAGGAAGGUAGAAUUCCCGGGGUAGCGGUGAAAUGCGUAGAGAUCGGGAGGAAUACCAGUGGCGAAGGCCGCCUUCUGGACUGACACUGACGCUGAGGUGCGAAAGCGUGGGUAGCAAACAGGAUUUGAUACCCUGGUAGUC
rnacentral:rRNA from 1 species